rnacentral:rRNA from 1 species
GACGAACGCUGGCGGCGUGCCUAAUACAUGCAAGUCGAACGCAGUGGGGACGGGUGAUUAACACGUGGGCAACCUCCCAUCAGAGGGGAUAACACUUGGAAAAAGGUGCUAAACCGAUACUGUUUGCUCUACUCGCUGGGCAUUAGCUAGUUGGUGAGGUAACGGCUCACCAAGUCCGCGAUGCAUAGCCGACCUGAGAGGGUGAUCAGCCACACUGGGACUGAGACACGGCCCAGACUCCUACGGGAGGCAGCAGUAGGGAAUCUUCGGCAAUGGACGAAAGUCUGACCGAGCAAUGCCGCGUGAGUGAAGAAGGUUUUCGGAUUGUAAAACUCUGUUGGUAGGGAAGCGGUAUCUAAACAAAAAGCAACGGCUAACUACGUGCCAGCAGCCGCGGUAAUAC